GUAUUCAAAAUUUUUUUGAACCUACUCCUCAUCCUAAAAGGCUGAGGAAAGGCGUUCAUAAUAAGACUUCAAAAGAAAAAAAGAUAGAAUGUCGUUAUUCAACGCUUCGGCGCCGCACAUGCGCACACACACUCCCCGCAUCAGGGGGAGUGGGAAACAGAGCCCCCAGUGUCGACCUUCCGAGAACAAAUCCCGGAAGGGUUCUACCGAGAACCCCAUCACUCACCGUGAAAGUGAGAGAGAGCAGCGGCGCCAGAGACAGAUAUAAUUGCACAAGGUGUCGGAUUAACCGGCCUGCUUUCGCAGACUUUGUUUUUCCUUAAUGAUCCAACCGCAGGUUCACCUACGGUUA
rnacentral:misc_RNA from 1 species